GAAUAGCUCAGUAGGUAAACCAUGAGACUCUUAAUCUCAGGGACGUUGGUUUGAGCCCCAUGUUGAACA
rnacentral:tRNA from 1 species